GGGUGUGGGGAUGACCUGGCUGCAACACCUGUCACCCCACUGACUGCCAGAGUUGACUCGGCUGAUCCAGCUGGCUGGGUGGUGCCCCUGUUCUCCCUCGACAUUCCAUGUGUGUCCCUGCCAAAGCUGCACACGUGGUCAAAGACAGCGACCAUCCCCACAGAGGAGGACCAUGUCCUCAGUUGGGUAUACUGGCAGCUGUGCACCCCUGCCAGAUUCACCCCCAAACAAGCCCUCUCAAGGCCUCUCAGCAUACUAAAAAACAGGAUUCCUUCUAGGAGGAAUUAUCACUAU
rfam:Cavia porcellus supercont2_13 genomic scaffold, whole genome shotgun sequence.